rnacentral:tRNA from 1 species
UCCUGUGUGGCUCAGCCAGUAGAGCACAGUGUUUGCAAUGCUAAGGUUGUGGGUUUGAGUCCCACAGGAA